UUCGGGGUUAGUGGCGCACGGGUGCGUAACGCGUGGGAACCUGCCUUUAGGUUCGGAAUAACUCAGAGAAAUUUGAGCUAAUACCGGAUAAUGUCUUCGGACCAAAGAUUUAUCGCCUUUAGAUGGGCCCGCGUUAGAUUAGAUAGUUGGUGGGGUAAUGGCCUACCAAGUCGACGAUCUAUAGCUGGUCUGAGAGGAUGAUCAGCCCACUGGGACUGAGACACGGCCCAGACUCCUACGGGAGGCAGCAGUGGGGAAUAUUGGACAAUGGCGGAAAGCCUGAUCCAGCAAUGCCCGCGUGAGUGAUGAAGGCCUUAGGGGUUGUAAAGCUCUUUUCCAGGGAUGAUAAUGACAGUACCUGGAGAAUAAGCCUCCGGCUAACUCCGUGCCAGCAGCCGCGGUU
rnacentral:rRNA from 1 species